UGAGCUGUGAUGGGGAGAAGACAUUGUGUCUUCGAGUCGUUGAUUUCACACUGCCGAGAAAAGCCUCUAGAUAGAAAAUAGGUGCCCGUACCGCAAACCGACACAGGUAGUCAAGAUGAGAAUUCUAAGGUGAGCGAGCGAACUCUCGUUAAGGAACUCGGCAAAAUGACCCCGUAACUUCGGGAGAAGGGGUGCUCUUUAGGGUUAACGCCCAGAAGAGCCGCAGUGAAUAGGCCCAAGCGACUGUUUAUCAAAAACACAGGUCUCUGCUAAACCGUAAGGUGAUGUAUAGGGGCUGACGCCUGCCCGGUGCUGGAAGGUUAAGAGGAGUGGUUAGCUUCUGCGAAGCUACGAAUCGAAGCCCCAGUAAACGGCGGCCGUAACUAUAACGGUCCUAAGGUAGCGAAAUUCCUUGUCGGGUAAGUUCCGACCCGCACGAAAGGCGUAACGAUUUGGGCACUGUCUCAACGAGAGACUCGGUGAAAUCAUAGUACCUGUGAAGAUGCAGGUUACCCGCGACAGGACGGAAAGACCCCGUGGAGCUUUACUGUAGCCUGAUAUUGAAAUUCGGCACAGCUUGUACAGGAUAGGUAGGAGCCUUUGAAACGUGAGCGCUAGCUUACGUGGAGGCGCUGGUGGGAUACUACCCUAGCUGUGUUGGCUUUCUAACCCGCACCACUUAUCGUGGUGGGAGACAGUGUCAGGCGGGCAGUUUGACUGGGGCGGUCGCCUCCUAAAAGGUAACGGAGGCGCUCAAAGGUUCCCUCAGAAUGGUUGGAAAUCAUUCAUAGAGUGUAAAGGCAUAAGGGAGCUUGACUGCGAGACCUACAAGUCGAGCAGGGUCGAAAGACGGACUUAGUGAUCCGGUGGUUCCGCAUGGAAGGGCCAUCGCUCAACGGAUAAAAGCUACCCCGGGGAUAACAGGCUUAUCUCCCCCAAGAGUUCACAUCGACGGGGAGGUUUGGCACCUCGAUGUCGGCUCAUCGCAUCCUGGGGCUGUAGUCGGUCCCAAGGGUUGGGCUGUUCGCCCAUUAAAGCGGUACGCGAGCUGGGUUCAGAACGUCGUGAGACAGUUCGGUCCCUAUCCGUCGUGGGCGUAGGAAAUUUGAGAGGAGCUGUCCUUAGUACGAGAGGACCGGGAUGGACAUACCUCUGGUGUACCAGUUGUCGUGCCAACGGCAUAGCUGGGUAGCUAUGUGUGGACGGGAUAAGUGCUGAAAGCAUCUAAGCAUGAAGCCCCCCUCAAGAUGAGAUUUCCCAACUUCGGUUAUAAGAUCCCUCAAAGAUGAUGAGGUUAAUAGGUUC
rnacentral:rRNA from 1 species